CAAGGGCAUCAGUAGUAACAGAGAGUUCGAUUCUGGCUCCAGAUUGGAACGCUGGCGGGAUGCUUUACACAUGCAGUCGAACGGCAGCACGGACUUCGGUCUGGUGGCGAGUGGCGAACAAUUGAGUAAUGUAUCGGAACGUGCCAGUAGCAGCGAAUAACCACGCGGAAAGACGGUAACCACCGCACCGCCCUUCGGAAAGCAGCGGGACCUUCCGGGCCUCGCUUUAUUGGGCGAGCGAUAUCAGUUUAUUCGUGAAGAACGGCCUCACCGGCGUUUCGAUCCGUAGCAUGGGUUUGGGUUGACCAGCCACUGGACGGUUGCGGCUGAUUUCUACAACGGGCAGCGUCAGGAUUACAGACUGACAGAACUGAUAGCCAUCCCUGAUGGUCGUACAAGGCCUCGGGUUUAUCAAGCAACACGGCAGAAGAAGCGGUACGCGGAUGCCGACAACAGCGGCACCUGCGAUAAAGCACCGAUAACACCGUGCCCUGCGCCACCAGUGUCGUCACGGCUGGCGUUAAUCGGAAUACUGGGCGUAAAGCGUGCGCAGGCUGGUUCGGAAAGAAAGAUCUUGAAAUCCCGGAGCUUAACUUUGGAACUGCAUUUUUAACUACCGAGCUAGAGUGUGUCAGAGGUGGAAUUUCCGCGAUGUAGCAGUGAAAUGCGUAGAUAUGCGGAGGAACACCGAUGGCGAAGGCAACCUCCUGGGAUAACGCGACGCUCAUGCACGGCGUGGGGAGCAAACGGGAUUAGAUACCCUGGUAGUCCACGCCCUAAACGAUGUCAACUAGCUGUUGGGGCCUUCGGGCCUUGGUAGCGCAGCUAACGCGUGAAGUUGACCGCCUGGGGAGUACGGUCGCAAGAUUAAAACUCAAAGGAAUUGACGAGAUCCCGCACAAGCGGUGGAUGAUGUGGAUUAAUUCGAUGCAACGCGAAAGAGCGCCUACCCUCGACAUGUCUGGAAUCCCGAAGAGAUUUGGGAGUGCUCGCAAGAGAACCGGAACACAGGUGCUGCAUGGCUGUCGUCAGCUCGUGUCGUGAGAUGUUGGGUUAAGUCCGCAACGAGCGCAACCCUUGUCAUUAGUUGCUACGAAAGGGCACUCUAAUGAGACUGCCGGUGACAAACCGGAGGAAGGUGGGGAUGACGUCAAGUCCUCAUGGCCCUUAUGGGUAGGGCUUCACACGUCAUACAAUGGUCGAGACAGAGGGUCGCCAACCCGCGAGGGGGAGCCAAUCCCAGAAACCCGAUCGUAGUCCGGAUCGCAGUCUGCAGCUCGACUGCGUGAAGUCAGAUCGCUAGUAAUCAUGGAUCAGCAUGUCGCAGUGAAUACGUUCCCGGGUCUUGUACACACACCGCCCGUCACACCAUGGGAGUGGGUUUUACCAGAAGUAGUUAGCCUAACCGUAAGGAGGGCGAUUACCACGGUAGGAUUCAUGACUGGGGUGAAGUCGUAACAAAGGUAG
rnacentral:rRNA from 1 species